UAACAGCAUAGUUGUCAGAAUCGUACGAUUCACAAUUCGUAUCGUACGAUUCGAUACGAUUCGGUGGGUAAUCGAUACGAAUAGGCUGCCGAAUCGGAAAUAGCUGAGAAUCGUAAGUGAAUCGGUGAUUUACGAUUCUGAAUCAGUGAAUCGUUCGAUUCACUUAAAAUUUCCGAAAUUCAUUUUUUACUCUUGUUUUGCUUCUUUUGAUGUUUGAAAAGGGUUCAAAUAUUUUUUUAAGGUCUAGUAUUGUUAUAUGUCAUCUUUUGUCUAUGUUAUAUGGAUAGAUAAUAAGAAAAGAGAUUUAUUACGAGAGUGAAUCGAAAAUGAGGAAGAUAAAUGGAAUAUAACAACCCUAUAGACCUUCUAAGGGUUUGUUUUGUACUUAUAACUCUUUCGUACAAAAAGAACCAUAAGUAGGCUUUACGAAUCAUCAUCUCUUGGUAGUUGCAAUAGAAGCAACUUACCUAAUAUUCCACGUUAUUAUCAAAUCAUCAUUAGAAGAAAGUAUUUAUUGAUUUAGGCCUAAGUCUUUCAUUUUUAGUAUAUAUUGUUGUUAACCUAAUCAAUAAGCAUAGGUUUCUAUGCAUUAUAGAAGUCAUGACCGAAUCAGAGCGAUUCACGAUUCGAUUCGAUUCACGAUUCGAAAAAUGACCAUUUCGAUUCUCGAUUCGAUUCACGAUUUGACAACUAUACUAACAGGAUAUACAUGCACGAAUUUUCGAUCCAUGCUCUUUUUAAUUUGGCAAGGUACACAUUUUCCCCACAAGUCGAUAUUGCAGGGACUUUUUAGAUAGGAAAAAUGAUAGUCUUCAAAAAGGAACUCUGUAAAUUAUAUUUGCCAGAUUAUGUACUCCAUGUUCUCGGGUUGUUUACGUACAACAGGAUAAAGGUAAUCCUUAGUCAAUGGGGUAUGUGUGGGGGCGGACUGGAGAGAGACCUAACCUUUGGCAAUAUAUGCAUAAAGUGGUUGCUCUUAGAAAGUUUUGCCACUGACAUAGCGGCCCCCUAUACCUCCAGGCUCCAAAAGGCGAGGAACCAAAGCAGUGUUCAUACAAGUUACUUUUUCUUGCUUUGGGAUGACACUUAGCAUAGCAGAAAGAGAAAUACUUACAUUUCCAUCAGUAUUGUUGUUUUCCAGAACUCUAAAAUAAGUUACAUUGCUACUCAAGUACAUUAGAGUUUGUACGUAGGAUGAUAGGAUCAUUGAUGAAGGAUAUGAUUUUUGUAACUUGUAAGCAUGAUUUAAAAAUUACUGAUUUGGUGGUGGUUACAAGGAAACUGAUAUUUCAAAGUGAACGAUGUAUGAUAGUGCUGGUUUCCUUGUAAGAGUGCGUAUGAGUAAAAGCAUUGUUUAACUCAAUUGCACUAAUUUGGUAUGAGUAUUUAAUCUAUUUUUAGAGAUUGGAGAUUUAGUCUCUUUUGAAAGUUUUUUAGUUCCAUAAGUCUCACGUGGAACCUUUAUCAUCUCUUUUUGCAGAUUUGAUUGUGCUUCUUUGUCAGCAUGCAUCAUUUUUCGUUUUCUACUCGCUUCUUGUUGCUACAUUGUUUUUAUCAUUCUUACCGGUGGAAUCUGGAUGACAGGAUGAGGGGAAGAGUGUUGCUAAUGUAUAUUAGUACUUUUCAGAUUCAAAUCCUUCUUAAUGGCUUCAAGUUAAACACUUAUUGGCAGCAAAACUAUUUCCCCCUCACAUUAUUCCUCGCGAACGUUAGAAACAAAAUGAUCAGUUGCAACAUAUACCAUCAUCUGUUGCCAGCUCUACAGUGGCAUUUCAACAGCUUUUACAGCUUAAGUGCUUAACAGUCCUUUUGAUAGACAUGGAUUGCUGUUCAGUGCACAUACAAGCUGUAUUUUCCCUGGAAAUAACAGCAGCUUUACAGCAAAUAGUUUUACAUUCAUUGAGAAAUAAUCUCUAUUUCCAAUAACUCACUAAAAAAUUUCUAGAUAGGCAUAUACUGUAUAUUUGUAUUAAUUGGCAACCCUCUCCCAUUCAAUACUACAAUCGCUAGCUUCUAACUGAGUGAAUCCUAUAUCAAUACGUACAACUCUGACAGGAUAUAUUCAUUUCAAUUUACAUAAUAACAUAAACUUCCCCAAAUCAUAUUUUUCUCGAACUUAAAUCUAUUAACCCUUUUGUAUUGCUUCUUUUCUGAAUUAUCAAAAAAACACAGUGCUGCUUGUCGUAGUAACAGUAGAGAAGGAUGGAAAGUGGGUCAUGGAGGGACAGGAAAACACAGGUUGUGGAGCGAAAAUUAUUGGGUGCAACAACAGGGGUUGGGGUCAUAGCCCGUGGUAUGGUGUCAAAUGCUAACAAAUCAGAAACUUUUGGAGUAUCUAGUAGCAGUGAAUGAUUUUUC